AUGAAAAAGACGAAAAAAGGUUUUGAUUUGUCUGCAAAUCGAUAGCCAGAAAUACAAAUCCCCCGAAGUUCGGAACAUUCCAACGAUGAACUCUGCGUGGCUAAGUUUGAUUCUGCUGGGAAAUCUUGUGCGACGCAUAAGUGAAACGGACCAAAAUAUUAACCGUUCAAUUUGAACUCGUUAUAUCGGAUUUGUCAUGAUCUAGUGAUGAGUUUUGACUAUCUGGAAUACUCCACAUAAUUUAAGGCAAGAAUCGCACGAAUGUGCAUAGGAUAGUUCGUAAGAAUCGCUUUAUCGGCUUCCGUGACAACGAAUAAUCGUAAACUUUCGCCGACGGAACUGAUUCUCCAAACCGAUCAUCUGCCAACGUCAGUCAGAUAUCGACAGCAUAACAAAUAUUACAAUUUCUCAGAAUGAUAAUACGGUUCGACAUACCAGGGUUGUUAAUAGGAAAAUCGUCGGUCGUAUAGCUAACGAGCCUGCGUAUGCCACACAUCUAGUAAUGACACGAGUACCCAGAACAGUUAAACAAAUUACGUCAUUGGCCUGUGUUGGAUACUGACUAUGAAGUAACUGGAUAACCGAAAAUUCUAGUGCAUUCCUACCGGUUGAUGAACCCUUCGAGUGAAUCCAUACAUUCGGAAUGUGAAACAAACGAUUGAACAGGAAGAUCCGGUGGAAGCUUCAUGCAACCAUUUAUUCAAAAAAGUAAAGGCGGUGCGUGCCAAAUCUACAUGACUGUUAAGGUCAUUGGUAUGGCUGGCUUAAACGAUAGUGUUCGCUACAAAGAAAUUAUCGUUGAAGAUUAUUACUGUUAAUGCAAUGUUUAGUGAUUAGCUGUAAUCGUGUUAAGAACACUUCUCGUUUUGAUUUUCCUCCGAAGUGCAUGGUCGUACCAUCGUUAUUACCUGCUAACCCAACUAACUCGUCAAGAAUUUGAUUCGGAGUUCAGUAUAAUCUUCAAAUGGAUUCCGAAUCAAAUACAACAACCGAUUCCGAACCGAUCCGAGUCGGAAUCGAUUGUUGCAUCUGGUUCGGAAUCCGUUUGGAAAUCAUACUUCCAAAACAAAUUCCAUACGAAUUGAUUGGAAAAGGGGCUAAAGGAGAUGAAGACAUUUUGUAUAUCAGUCAACUCCUGCAAAAUGUGAUAAUUUCUUUAGUGAGUGAGAAAGUUCGUUCGUUACACGUUACAAGUAUUGUAUUAAAAAUCGAGGGGGACGACACUAAAAAACUGCACUUCGCUUCGAUUAGGCUUUUUUACGCUGCAUACGAUCAUGCACACUUUCCUUCUUUUUGCUAAACAUAGUAACGGUUGAAUAUGGAUCGAUCGUCUUUUCUUGGGUUUUUGCUGGUUAAAAACAUAACCAUGGAGAUAUGAUGUAUCGUAAUAAGCAAUGAAACCUGAAAGUUGCAAAUGUCACAUGAAGAAAAAUAUAAUUUCAAAGACUGAAGUUUUUUAUUUUUCAAGGAACAAUGGUAAUAAUUUAAAUAAAAUGAUGAUAUUUUUUAAAUCAUUAGUUUUCAGGAAAAGUCAAAUAUGUGAAGCGAUUUUCAGAGAUGCUCGCUCUUUCACUUCGAUCGAAUCAACGAUUGUGAAUUUUACAAGGAUUCGAAUUCAAACAAAACGAGACAUAAUGCACAGCCAACAAAACACGCUAAGAUUCCCACGACUGAAUUCCCCAUGCAUAGGGAACAGGGUCGUUCUACCCAGUGAUUGUGAAAUUUCUGAUGCAGUAGAAAAAGCGAAAGUUGCUGCAAGGAAACUCUCCAAAUGUUAGGUUUUGAUUGUUCGAAGGUGUCUUUUAAAGAAAGCAUUAUUUUAAAACAACCAAAAACAAAACCUUCCAGAGAUUGUGCAAAUUUCG